rnacentral:rRNA from 1 species
AUACGUAGGUGACAAGCGUUAUCCGGAUUUACUGGGCGUAAAGGGCGUGUAGGCGGUCUUGCAAGUCAGAAGUGAAAUUCCUGAGCUCAACUCGGGCGCUGCUUCUGAAACUGCAGGACUUGAGUGCUGGAGGGGAUAGCGGAAUUCCUAGUGGAGCGGUAAAAUGCGCAGAUAUUAGGAAGAACACCGGUGGCGAAGGCGGCGUUCUGGACAGUAACUGACGCUGAGGCGCGAAAGCGUGGGGAGAAAACAGGAUUAAAGCCCCUGGUAGUCCACGCCGUAAACGAUGAAUACUAGGUGUAGGGGGUAUCGACUCCCUCUGUGCCGCAGUUAACACAAUAAGUAUUCCGCCUGGGGAGUACGGCCGCAAGGUUGAAACUCAAAUGAAUUGACGGGG